rnacentral:rRNA from 1 species
CAUAGACAGCCAGGAUGUUGGCUUAGAAGCAGCCAUCAUUUAAAGAAAGCGUAAUAGCUCACUGGUCGAGUCGGCCUGCGCGGAAGAUGUAACGGGGCUAAACCAUGCACCGAAGCUGCGGCAGCGACGCUUAGGCGUUGUUGGGUAGGGGAGCGUUCUGUAAGCCGUUGAAGGUGGCCUGUGAGGGCUGCUGGAGGUAUCAGAAGUGCGAAUGCUGACAUAAGUAACGAUAAUGCGGGUGAAAAACCCGCACGCCGGAAGACCAAGGGUUCCUGUCCAACGUUAAUCGGGGCAGGGUGAGUCGACCCCUAAGGCGAGGCUGAAAAGCGUAGUCGAUGGGAAACAGGUUAAUAUUCCUGUACUGGGUGUGACUGCGAAGGGGGGACGGAGAAGGCUAGGCUAGCCGGGCGACGGUUGUCCCGGUUUAAGCAUGUAGGCGGAGUGACUUGGUAAAUCCGGUUGCUUAUCAACGCUGAGGUGUGAUGACGAGCCACUACGGUGGUGAAGUAGUUGAUGCCAAGCUUCCAGGAAAAGCCUCUAAGCAUCAGGUGACAUUCAAUCGUACCCCAA